GUGGUGAGCCAAGACCAUGCCACUGCACUCUAGCUUGUGUGACAGAAUGAGACUCUGUCUCAAAAAAAAUCAAAUAAAUAAAUAAAAAUAAAUAAAAUGCAGAUAAGGCUGGGUGUGGUGGAACACACUUAUAAUCCUAGUAGUUUACGAGGUUGAGAUGGAAGGAUUACUUGAGGCCAGGAAUUCAAGGCUGCAGUGACCUAUGAUGGCACCACUGCACUCCAGCCUGGGUGACACAGUGACACUCUGUCUGUAAAAUAAAUAAACAUACAAAAUGCAGAUAACUGGGCCUCCAGAAUUUCUGAUUCCACAGGUGCAAGGUGGGGCCCUUGAACUUGCAUUUUGAGCAAGCCACAGUCCUGCGGAGGACUGGUUGUGAAGCUGCCAGCAUUGUCUGAGGACAGCAAGGACCCUUGGAUGGAUCAAGCCUCAGCCCCUGUCUACGAGAGCUUUAAGCUUUAAGUGAGAGCUCCCCAUGGCCGAGAGCUUCCUUCUGAAUUCCUGUUGCUAGGAAUUCCAAAGUCACAUUGAAGUCCCAACCCCUAGUAGCUCAGAAUGUGACCUUAGUUGGAGGCAGGGUCUUCACGGAGGUAAUCAAGUUAAAACGAGAUGGGCGAAUCCUGAUCCAAUAGAACUGGUUUCCGCUCUUUUCCGUGGCGCCUUGGAGGCGUUCAGCUGCUUCAAGAUGAAGCUGAACAUCUCCUUCCCAGCCACUGGCUGCCAGAAACUCAUUGAAGUGGACGAUGAACGCAAACUUCGUACUUUUUAUGAGAAGCGUAUGGCCACAGAAGUUGCUGCUGACGCUCUGGGUGAAGAAUGGAAGGGUUAUGUGGUCCGAAUCAGUGGUGGGAACGACAAACAAGGUUUCCCCAUGAAGCAGGGUGUCUUGACCCAUGGCCGUGUCCGCCUGCUACUGAGUAAGGGGCAUUCCUGUUACAGACCAAGGAGAACGGGAGAAAGAAAGAGAAAAUCAGUUCGUGGUUGCAUUGUGGAUGCCAAUCUGAGCGUUCUCAACUUGGUUAUUGUAAAAAAAGGAGAGAAGGAUAUUCCUGGACUGACUGAUACUACAGUGCCUCGCCACCUGGGCCCCAAAAGAGCUAGCAGAAUCCACAAACUUUUCAAUCUCUCUAAAGAAGAUGACAUCCGCCAGUAUGUUGUAAGAAAGCCCUUAAACAAAGAAGGUAAGAAACCUAGGACCAAAGCACCCAAGAUUCAGCGUCUUGUUACUCCACGUGUCCUGCAGCACAAACGGCGGCGUAUUGCUCUGAAGAAGCAGCGUACUAAGAAAAACAAGGAAGAGGCUGCAGAAUAUGCUAAACUUUUGGCCAAAAGAAUGAAGGAGGCUAAGGAGAAGCGCCAGGAACAAAUUGCAAAGAGACGCAGACUUUCCUCUCUGCGAGCUUCUACUUCUAAGUCUGAAUCCAGUCAGAAAUAAGAUUUUUUGAGUAACAAAUAAAUAAGAUCAGACUCGGAAAAAAAAAAAAAAAA